rnacentral:rRNA from 1 species
AGUGAACGCUGGCGGUAGGCCUAACACAUGCAAGUCGAACGGCAGCACAGUAAGAGCUUGCUCUUACGGGUGGCGAGUGGCGGACGGGUGAGGAAUACAUCGGAAUCUACUUUUUCGUGGGGGAUAACGUAGGGAAACUUACGCUAAUACCGCAUACGACCUACGGGUGAAAGCAGGGGAUCUUCGGACCUUGCGCGAUUGAAUGAGCCGAUGUCGGAUUAGCUAGUUGGCGGGGUAAAGGCCCACCAAGGCGACGAUCCGUAGCUGGUGUGAGAGGAUGAUCAGCCACAUUAGAACGGAGACACGGUCCAGACUACUACGGGAGGCAGCAGUGGGGAAUAUUGGACAAAGGGCGCAAGCCUGAUACAGCCAUACCGCGUGGGUGAAGAAGGCCUUCGGGUUGUAAAGCCCUUUUGUUGGGAAAGAACAGCAGCAGGUUAAUACCCCGCUGUUCUGACGGUACCCAAAGAAUAAGCACCGGCUAACUUCGUG